rnacentral:rRNA from 1 species
AUACGGAGGGUGCAAGCGUUGUUCGGAUUUAUUGGGCGUAAAGCGCGUGUAGGCGGUUUGGUAAGUCUGAUGUGAAAGCCCCGGGCUCAACCUGGGAAGUGCAUUGGAAACUGUCAGACUUGAAUACGGGAGAGGGUAGUGGAAUUCCUAGUGUAGGAGUGAAAUCCGUAGAUAUUAGGAGGAACACCGGUGGCGAAGGCGGCUACCUGGACCGAUAUUGACGCUGAGACGCGAAAGCGUGGGUAGC